rnacentral:rRNA from 1 species
AGAGUUUGAUCAUGGCUCAGGAUGAACGCUGGCGGCGUGCUUAACACAUGCAAGUCGAACGCUGAAGCUCCCAGCUUGCUGGGGGUGGAUGAGUGGCGAACGGGUGAGUAUCACGUGAGUAACCUGCCCUUGACUCUGGGAUAAGCCCGGGAAACUGGGUCUAAUACUGGAUAGGACUGGCCAUCGCAUGGUGGUUGGUUGAAAGCUUUUGCGGUUUUGGAUGGACUCGCGGCCUAUCAGCUUGUUGGUGGGGUAAUGGCCUACCAAGGCUUUGACGGGUAGCCGGCCUGAGAGGGUGACCGGCCACACUGGGACUGAGACACGGCCCAGACUCCUACGGGAGGCGGCAGUGGGGGAUAUUGCACAAUGGGCGCAAGCCUGAUGCAGCGACGCCGCGUGAGGGAUGACGGCCUUCGGGUUGUAAACCUCUUUCAGUUGGGAAGAAGCCUUUCGGGGUGACGGUACCUUCAGAAGAAGCACCGGCUAACUACGUGCCAGCAGCCGCGGUAAUACGUAGGGUGCGAGCGUUAUCCGGAAUUAUUGGGCGUAAAGAGCUCGUAGGCGGUUUGUCACGUCUGCUGUGAAAGCUCGGGGCUUAACUCCGAGUGUGCAGUGGGUACGGGCAGGCUGGAGUGCAGUAGGGGAGACUGGAAUUCCUGGUGUAGCGGUGAAAUGCGCAGAUAUCAGGAGGAACACCGAUGGCGAA